GACGAACGCUGGCGGCGUGCCUAAUACAUGCAAGUCGAACGCAUUUUCUUUCACCGUAGCUUGCUACACCGAAAGAAAAUGAGUGGCGAACGGGUGAGUAACUCGUGGGUAACCUGCCCAUCAGCGGGGGAUAACACUUGGAAACAGGUGCUAAUACCGCAUAAUUCCAUUUACCGCAUGGUAGAUGGAUGAAAGGCGCUUUUGCGUCACUGAUGGAUGGACCCGCGGUGCAUUAGCUAGUUGGUGGGGUAACGGCCUACCAAGGCUGCGAUGCAUAGCCGACCUGAGAGGGUGAUCGGCCACACUGGGACUGAGACACGGCCCAGACUCCUACGGGAGGCAGCAGUAGGGAAUCUUCGGCAAUGGACGCAAGUCUGACCGAGCAACGCCGCGUGAGUGAAGAAGGUUUUCGGAUCGUAAAACUCUGUUGUUAGAGAAGAACAAGGAUGAGAGUGGAAAGUUCAUCCCUUGACGGUAUCUAACCAGAAAGCCACGGCUAACUACGUG
rnacentral:rRNA from 1 species